AGUUGGGCAGAGAGAAAGGAGGGCGCUGCGGUUCUUGGUGCUUGGCUAUGGCGUCCACCUCUUCCUCCUCCUCCUCCCCCGCAUUCCCGGAGAGAAAGGGCUUCAAAGCCGACGCCGAUGGGCAGCUCUACUACAGCCCCUACAGUGAGCUCUUUGGUGCCAUGGAUCAACACCUGUACAAGCUCCCCACCACCCCGGAGUUCCUCUUUUCGGAGGAGGCGACGUUCCAGCGGCGAUCCCUGGGCGAGAACAUCCAGUAUUACACGGGCUGUGGCUACCUGGGCGGCGCGGUGGCGGGCGGCGCCAAGGGCCUGGUGGACGGCGUCCGGCAGAUCGAGAGCGGCGACACCGCCAAGCUACGCGUCAAUCGGCUGCUCAACUCGUCGGGCCACACGGGGAGGAUGAUGGGCAACAAGAUUGGGAUCGUGGGACUAAUGUACGCGGGAAUGGAGAGCGGCGCCUGGUACCUCCGCAAGAGCGAUGAUCUCCUCAAUUCCGUGGCGGCGGGGCUCGCCACUGGCGCCUUCUACAAGGCCGCCGCCGGGCCUAGGACCGCCGCCAUCGCUGGCGCUCUGGGAGCCAUGGCGGCGGGGGGGAUGGUCGUGGGAAAGCAAGCGGCAAAGAGAUAUCUUCCACUCUAGAGCAGCGCUUGAAGAACAAGACUAUCUAUCACUCGUUCUUGCGAUCAUUAUAUGGGCGGGGCGGGAUCAGUCGAUCGAUCGAUCAAAAGUUACUACAGCUAGAAGAGGGAUUGAGAGGGCUUUUUUGUCAGGAAUUUGUCGAAAUUUAGUAGAAUGCUUGAGAUUCUCGAGUCCGCGGUGGCUGUGAUGACCAAAUUUUCCCGAAGAUGAGGCUUGAUCGCCUCUGAAAUGGAAAGAAUCAUGAGUCUGAGCCACAAUCUCCACAAAAAUCUAAAACCAAACCCCUAAACCCCAAAUCUUGAGUGCUAGAACCCUAAAUCUUUGAGUGCUAGAACCCUAAAAGAAAGUACCUUCUUUUUCUCGCAAUGGCGACUGCGAGCAGCACUAGCAGCAUCCGGCAGCAGCAAGGGCGGCAGCCGGAAUUCAAGUACAUCGUUCCACUGAUCUACGCUCCAAUCCUGCCGCUCAUAAGGCUCGCGUUCCGGAAGAAUCCCGAGGUGCGAGAUCGAGUGUUUGCGGUAGCGCUCGGGAUGGCGUUCGUGCACGGAGGCUAUGUGAUAUCGGAGCUCUAUCAGAAGGAAAGUAGCAGGCAGCCCAAAUUGUGAGGCUGGAUCGC